UAGUACGGCGAGUGAAGCGGGAAGAGCUCAAAUUUGAAAUCUGGUAGCCUUCGGCUGCCCGAGUUGUAAUCUAGAGAAGUGUUUUCCGUGCCGGCCCAUGUACAAGUCCCUUGGAACAGGGCGUCAUAGAGGGUGAGAAUCCCGUCCUUGACAUGGACCCCCGGUGCUUUGUGAUACACUUUCAACGAGUCGAGUUGUUUGGGAAUGCAGCUCAAAAUGGGUGGUGAAUUCCAUCUAAAGCUAAAUAUUGGCGAGAGACCGAUAGCGAACAAGUACCGUGAGGGAAAGAUGAAAAGCACUUUGGAAAGAGAGUUAAACAGUACGUGAAAUUGUUGAAAGGGAAACGAUUGAAGUCAGUCAUGCUCUUUGGAUUCAGCCGUUCUGCGGUGUAUUUCCAUUGAGUGGGGUCAACAUCAGUUUUGAUCGCUGGAUAAAGGCACUAGGAAGGUAGCACUCUCGGGUGAACUUAUAGCCUAGCGUCAUAUACAGUGAUUGGGACUGAGGAACGCAGCAUGCCUUUAUGGCCGGGAUUCGUCCACGUACAUGCUUAGGAUGUUGACAUAAUGGCUUUAAACGACCCGUCUGAA
rnacentral:rRNA from 1 species